rnacentral:rRNA from 1 species
AGCGAACGCUGGCGGCGUGCCUAACACAUGCAAGUCGAACGUUAAAGGGAGCAAUCCCAAGUAAAGUGGCGUACGGGUGAGUAACACGUAGGUAAUCUACCCCAGAAUCUGGAAUAACCGGCCGAAAGGCUGGCUAAUACUGGAUAGAGCGACGGAAUCCGUAAUUGGGUUUUUCGGGAAAGGGAGCCUGUAAAAAGGCCUUCUUUCUGGGAUGAGCCUGCGUCCCAUCAGCUAGUUGGUGAGGUAAAAGCUUACCAAGGCAAUGACGGGUAGCUGGUCUGAGAGGACGAUCAGCCACACUGGAACUGAAACACGGUCCAGACUCCUACGGGAGGCAGCAGUGGGGAAUCUUGCGCAAUGGACGAAAGUCUGACGCAGCAACGCCGCGUGAGUGAAGAAGGCCUUCGGGUUGUAAAGCUCUGUCGAGUGGGACGAAAAUGCUUGGAGUUCACAGCUCCAGGAACUGACGGUACCACUAAAGGAAGCACCGGCUAACUCCGUG